UACGGAGGAUCCAAGCGUUAUCCGGAAUCAUUGGGUUUAAAGGGUCCGUAGGCGGCCUUAUAAGUCAGUGGUGAAAUCUCCUAGCUCAACUAGGAAACUGCCAUUGAUACUGCCAGUCUUGAGUCUAGUUGACGUAGGCGGAAUAUGACAUGUAGCGGUGAAAUGCAUAGAUAUGUCAUAGAACACCGAUUGCGAAGGCAGCUUACUAACAUGUAACUGACGCUGAGGGACGAAAGCGUGGGGAGCGAACAGG
rnacentral:rRNA from 1 species